rnacentral:snRNA from 9 species
GUACUUUCUUCAACAGUGCACAUACCAAGAUUGUAACGAGGCAGACAAGCAUGACCCUAGCGCAAGGAUGUCACGCAAAAUCGUAUAAAAUUUCAGUUCUUA